AUACGGAGGGUGCGAGCGUUGUUCGGAAUUAUUGGGCGUAAAGAGCAUGUAGGCGGUCUGUUAAGUCUGGUGUGAAAGCCCGGGGCUCAACCCCGGAAGUGCAUUGGAUACUGGCAGACUUGAGUAUGGGAGAGGAAAGCGGAUUUCCGAGUGUAGGAGUGAAAUCCGUAGAUAUUCGGAGGAACACCAGUGGCGAAGGCGGCUUUCUGGACCAAUACUGACGCUCAGAUGCGAAAGCGUGGGGAGCGAACAGGAUUAGAAACCCCAGUAGUCC
rnacentral:rRNA from 1 species